rnacentral:rRNA from 1 species
GACGAACGCUGGCGGCGUGCUUAACACAUGCAGGUCGAACGGAAAGGCCCUGCUUUUGUGGGGUGCUCGAGUGGCGAACGGGUGAGUAACACGUGAGUAACCUGCCCUUGACUUUGGGAUAACUUCAGGAAACUGGGGCUAAUACCGGAUAGGAGCUCCUGCUGCAUGGUGGGGGUUGGAAAGAUUCGGCGGUUGGGGAUGGACUCGCGGCUUAUCAGCUUGUUGGUGGGGUAGUGGCUUACCAAGGCUUUGACGGGUAGCCGGCCUGAGAGGGUGACCGGCCACAUUGGGACUGAGAUACGGCCCAGACUCCUACGGGAGGCAGCAGUGGGGAAUAUUGCACAAUGGGCGGAAGCCUGAUGCAGCAACGCCGCGUGCGGGAUGACGGCCUUCGGGUUGUAAACCGCUUUCGCCUGUGACGAAGCGUGAGUGACGGUAAUGGGUAAAGAAGCACCGGCUAACUACGUG